rnacentral:rRNA from 1 species
AUUGAACGCUGGCGGCAUGCUUUACACAUGCAAGUCGAACGGCAGCGGGGCUUCGGCCUGCCGGCGAGUGGCGAACGGGUGAGUAAUGCAUCGGAACGUACCCAGUCAUGGGGGAUAACUACGCGAAAGCGUAGCUAAUACCGCAUACGCCCUGAGGGGGAAAGCGGGGGAUCGCAAGACCUCGCGUGAUUGGAGCGGCCGAUGUCGGAUUAGCUAGUUGGUGGGGUAAAGGCCUACCAAGGCGACGAUCCGUAGCGGGUCUGAGAGGAUGAUCCGCCACACUGGGACUGAGACACGGCCCAGACUCCUACGGGAGGCAGCAGUGGGGAAUUUUGGGACAAUGGGGGCAACCCUGAUCCAGCCAUGCCGCGUGAGUGAAGAAGGCCUUC